AUUGAACGCUGGCGGCCGGCCUAACACAUGCAAGUCGAACGAGUGGCGGACUGGUGAGUAAUGUCUGGGAAACUGCCUGAUGGAGGGGGAUAACUACUGGAAACGGUAGCUAAUACCGCAUAACAUCAGAUGUGCCCAGAUGGGAUUAGCUUGUUGGUGGGGUAACGGCGCAAGAAGGCAACGAUCCCUAGCUGGUCUGAGAGGAUGACCAGGCACACUGGAACAGAGAGACGGUCCAGACUCCUACAGGAGGCAGAAGUAGGGAAUAUUGCACAAUGGGCGCAAGCCGGAUGAAGCCAUGACGCGUGUAUGAAGAAGGCCUGCGGGUUGUAAAGUACUUUCGGCGGUGAGGCGUUACCCGCAGAAGAAGCACCGGCUAACUCCGUGCCAGCAGCCGCGGUAAUAC
rnacentral:rRNA from 1 species